rnacentral:rRNA from 1 species
AGAAACCAACAGGGAUUCCCCUAGUAACGGCGAGUGAAGCGGGAACAGCUCAAAUUUGAAAUCUGGCCCUCGGGUCCGAGUUGUAAUUUGUAGAGGAUGCUUUUGGUGCGGUGCCUUCCGAGUUCCCUGGAACGGGACGCCUUAGAGGGUGAGAGCCCCGUACGGUUGGACGCCUAGCCUCUGUAAAGCUCCUUCGACGAGUCGAGUAGUUUGGGAAUGCUGCUCUAAAUGGGAGGUAUAUUUCUUCUAAAGCUAAAUACUGGCCAGAGACCGAUAGCGCACAAGUAGAGUGAUCGAAAGAUGAAAAGCACUUUGAAAAGAGGGUUAAAUAGCACGUGAAAUUGUUGAAAGGGAAGCGUUUAUCACCAGACUUUUUCUGGGGGGAUCAUCCGGUGUUCUCACCGGUGCACUUCCCCCAGUUGAGGCCAGCAUCGGUUUUCGGAGGGGGAUAAAAGCUUCGGGAAUGUGACUCCCUCGGGAGUGUUAUAGCCCGUUGCAUAAUACCCUUCUGGGGACCGAGGUUCGCGCAUCUGCAAGGAUGCUGGCAUAAUGGUGAUCAACGACCCGUCUUGAAACACGGACCAAGGAGUCGAACAUUUAUGCGAGUGUUUGGGUGUCAAACCCUCACGCGUAAUGAAAGUGAACGGAGGUGAGAGCCCUUACGGGUGCAUCAUCGACCGAUCCUGAUGUCUUCGGAUGGAUUUGAGUAAGAGCAUAACUGUUCGGACCCGAAAGAUGGUGAACUAUGCGUGGAUAGGGUGAAGCCAGGAGAAAUCCUGGUGGAGGCUCGCAGCGGUUCUGACGUGCAAAUCGAUCGUCAAAUCUGCGCAUGGGGGGCGAAAGACUAAUCGAACCAU